rnacentral:rRNA from 1 species
UCUGGUGGCGAUGGCGAGAAGGUCACACCCGUUCCCAUACCGAACACGGAAGUUAAGUUUCUCAGCGCCGAUGGUAGUUGGGGGUUUCCCCCUGUGAGAGUAGGACGCCGCCAGGC